ACUCCUACGGGAGGCAGCAGUGGGGAAUAUUGCACAAUGGGCGCAAGCCUGAUGCAGCCAUGCCGCGUGUGUGAAGAAGGCCUUCGGGUUGUAAAGCACUUUCAGUUGUGAGGAAGGUGGUGUCGUUAAUAGCGGCAUCAUUUGACGUUAGCAACAGAAGAAGCACCGGCUAACUCCGUGCCAGCAGCCGCGGUAAUACGGAGGGUGCGAGCGUUAAUCGGAAUUACUGGGCGUAAAGCGCAUGCAGGUGGUUUGUUAAGUCAGAUGUGAAAGCCCGGGGCUCAACCUCGGAACUGCAUUUGAAACUGGCAGACUAGAGUACUGUAGAGGGGGGUAGAAUUUCAGGUGUAGCGGUGAAAUGCGUAGAGAUCUGAAGGAAUACCGGUGGCAAGGCGGCCCCCUGGACAGAUACUGACACUCAGAUGCGAAAGCGUGGGGAGCAAACAGGAUUAGAUACCCUGGU
rnacentral:rRNA from 1 species